AAAUCAACUACUGAUUUACUUCUUACUCUGUUCGUAAAUCUCUGCUCUUUUCACUACAGAAUUUCCACUGGUGCGGCGCGACUAGGACGUUACUUUUAAUUGAUUUACUCAAGUUUGCAUUCAAGUUGAAGUUCAAGUUCAAGUUCAAAAUUCAGGGGCCGGCUGAAUCGGUCCAGGACUUCACCGUCGUUGGUAUGCCACAAUGCGAUUUGAGGAUUAUGUAUCGCUAGGGGCCCAUUGAAUGGGUCCAGGAUGGAAAGAUCCUUGGUAUGCCACAAUGCGAUUACAUAUUACAGGGUUGCAACCAUUAUAUUGAGGAUGUCGCCAGGGGCCCGUAAAUAGGGUCCGGGACUUUAAAGUCCUUGGAUUGCCACAGUGCGAAUAUUGAGGAUAUGUAUGAAAUGACUGUAUGUGUUACCGUUUUAUUAACUUGGACAAUGAUUGCAUGUUCUCACACUGAGUGUACCCUGUAUGCUCAUCCCAUAUUCAACAUUUUCAGGUUUUUAAGACCGGAGGCGCGUGGAAGGUCGAAUGGCGAAUCAAAUAUUUUA